CAGCAGGCGCGCAAAUUACCCA
rnacentral:siRNA from 1 species